AUAAUACUCCCUCCGUCCCAAAAUUCUUGUCUUAGCUUUGUCUAGAUAUGGAUGUAUCUAACACUAAAACGUAACUAGAUACAUCCGUAUUUAGACAAAUCUAAGACAAGAAUUUUAGGAUGGAGUACUAG
rnacentral:pre_miRNA from 1 species